AUGAUGCAGAGGGGUUUAGGGAGGCUUAUUAAGAUGAUUUCUCUGAUUCAUUCCAUAGAAUUUUCUCUCAGAUCUUUGAACAUGAGAAUGUAACCUCUGCAACUGAUAUAUAGGUGGAACUAUCACUCUCUUUUUCUGAAGCUGCAAAAGGAUGCACAAAACAUCUCUCUUUUGAUGCACAUGUUCCCU